CAAAGGGAGCAAUCCCGGCCACGGAUGGGCAUGCGGCGCAUUAGCUAGUCGGCGGGGUAACGGCCCACCGAGGCGACGAUGCGUAGGGGUUCUGAGAGGAAGGCCCCCCACACUGGUACUGAGACACGGACCAGACUCCUACGGGAGGCAGCAGUGAGGAAUAUUGGUCAAUGGGCGCGAGCCUGAACCAGCCAAGUCGCGUGAGGGAGGACGGCCCUACGGGUUGUAAACCUCUUUUGCCGGGGAGCAACGGGCGCCACGUGUGGCGUCACUGAGAGUACCCGGAGAAAAAGCAUCGGCUAACUCCGUGCCAGCAGCCGCGGUAAUACGGAGGAUGCGAGCGUUAUUCGGAUUUAUUGGGUUUAAAGGGUGCGUAGGCGGAUCGUUAAGUCAGUGGUCAAAUUGAGGGGCUCAACCCCUUCCCGCCAUUGAAACUGGCGCUCUUGAGUGGAAGAGAAGUAUGCGGAAUGCGUGGUGUAGCGGUGAAAUGCAUAGAUAUCACGCAGAACCCCGAUUGCGAAGGCAGCAUGCCGGCUUCCGACUGACGCUGAAGCACGAAAGCGUGGGGAUCGAACAGGAUUAGAUACCCUGGUAGUCCACGCGGUAAACGAUGAGCGCUAGGUGUCCGGGGGGAAUGGCCCCUG
rnacentral:rRNA from 1 species